UGGGGGAUAUUGCACAAUGGGCGAAAGCCUGAUGCAGCGACGCCGCGUGGGGGAUGAAGGCUUUCGGGUUGUAAACCUCUUUCGCUAUCGAACAAGGCCCGCUUAGGGUGGGUUGAGGGUAGGUGGAGAAGAAGCGCCGGCUAACUACGUGCCAGCAGCCGCGGUAAUACGUAGGGCGCGAGCGUUGUCCGGAAUUAUUGGGCGUAAAGGGCUUGUAGGCGGCUUGUUGCGCCUGCUGUGAAAACGCGGGGCUUAACGUCGCGCGUGCAGUGGGUACGGGCAGGCUUGAGUGUGGUAGGGGUGACUGGAAUUCCAGGUGUAGCGGUGGAAUGCGCAGAUAUCUGGAGGAACACCGAUGGCGAAGGCAGGUCACUGGGCCAUUACUGACGCUGAGGAGCGAAAGCAUGGGUAGCGAACAGG
rnacentral:rRNA from 1 species